rnacentral:rRNA from 1 species
GAUGAACGCUGGCGGCGUGCCUAAUACAUGCAAGUCGAGCGAACAGACGAGGAGCUUGCUCCUCUGACGUUAGCGGCGGACGGGUGAGUAACACGUGGAUAACCUACCUAUAAGACUGGGAUAACUUCGGGAAACCGGAGCUAAUACCGGAUAAUAUAUUGAACCGCAUGGUUCAAUAGUGAAAGACGGUUUUGCUGUCACUUAUAGAUGGAUCCGCGCCGCAUUAGCUAGUUGGUAAGGUAACGGCUUACCAAGGCAACGAUGCGUAGCCGACCUGAGAGCGUGAUCGGCCACACUGGAACUGAGACACGGUCCAGACUCCUACGGGAGGCAGCAGUAGGGAAUCUUCCGCAAUGGGCGAAAGCCUGACGGAGCAACGCCGCGUGAGUGAUGAAGGUCUUCGGAUCGUAAAACUCUGUUAUUAGGGAGGAACAAAUGUGUAAGUAACUAUGCACGUCUUGACGGUACCUAAUCAGAAAGCCACGGCUAACUACGUG